CGUCAAUUCUGCAGCACGGAAUCUUUUUUUUUGAAGGUGCGUUUUCCGGUUUUUUCUAUCACGCUACGAACUAUUCAAUAUUAAAGUUACAAUGUGAUACUUAAUAAUAUCAAAGAUGGCUUUAUGAGCAUAUUUUACCUGGUUAUAACAAAUUAUGCUACAUUUAAUGAAAAUUAAUUUCUUCUGAGAAAUGUAUAAGUACAUCAAUAUGAUUUUAUGGAUUUCUGCUUGUAUUACUUGAUGUAACUAACAAUGGACUUGGCUUUGACUACAGUAAUAAUUCAUUUCUAUAGUCAAUAUAUUAAUAAUGCAAGUAUCAUGGAAAUGUCAAACGUUCACAAGGGAUAUUUAUAUUUCUGGAGCACCGUGGAACACAGUGGGUCUGGAGAAUAUACCUGAUGAAUAAAAAGUACAAAACCUAUAAGCAAACGCUUAUUGAGAUUUUAGGAUUUUAGACUCAAUAUAUAAAGUAAGAUACAACAAUAUCACUAAUACUAUUUAAAUGUAUUCACAACUGAUUACUUAUCAUCAUUUUAUACAGUUGCAAUAUGUACCAAUGUACUUUUGAAAUGUUACAUGUAUCACUGAUACAAAAUAUCUUCGAAUAUUUUGUAUCUUUUAGCCGACGUAUGAAGUGUACCCGGUAUUGUUUCCAGAAUUCAAAUCACCUUAUAUCAACAUGCAAUAUUCAUUAUAUAUUGUAUACAUAUUCAUAUAUUUAUGAUUAUCAGUAUGAUAGCAUGCAUUAUCAUCUGCUUAACUUUUUCUUCAUAUAUAUUACCAACAUUAAAUUAUACAAAAUAUAAUCUUUGGAACGUAUUUAUCAAAUUUACAAAAUGACAAAAUGAUUGAAUUCAUACUAUAUUAAUUCCACAUUAUGAGUCUUGCUCAUCUAUAAAUAACACAUAUUUUAAUCUUUAGAAUGUCAUCGUUAAUAAAUAAUAUUGGUAGACUGUAUGAAAAUAUAUAGUAAUUUAAAUACUCAUGUGCAAUUUUUU